rnacentral:rRNA from 1 species
CGGGUGAGUAAUACAUCGGAACGUGUCUUCUAGUGGGGGAUAACUGCCCGAAAGGGCAGCUAAUACCGCAUGAGACCUGAGGGUGAAAGCGGGGGAUCGCAAGACCUCGCGCUGGGAGAGCGGCCGAUGUCCGAUUAGCUAGUUGGUGAGGUAAAGGCUCACCAAGGCGACGAUCGGUAGCUGGUCUGAGAGGACGACCAGCCACACUGGGACUGAGACACGGCCCAG